AGAGUUUGAUCCUGGCUCAGAACGAACGCUGGCGGCGUGCUUAACACAUGCAAGUCGAACGUGAUUGAGAGCUUGCUCUCAUGAAAGUGGCGCACGGGUGGGUAACACGUGGAUAAUCUGCCUGGCGAUUCGGGAUAACACUUCGAAAGGGGUGCUAAUACCGGAUAAGCCCACGGACUCUUCGGGGUUUGCGGGAAAAGGGGGCCUCUGUAUAUGCUCCUGUCGCUAGAUGAGUCCGCGGCCCAUUAGCUUGUUGGUGGGGUAAAGGCCUACCAAGGCGAUGAUGGUUAGCUGGUCUGAGAGGAUGAUCAGCCACACUGGAACUGAAACACGGUCCAGACUCCUACGGGAGGCAGCAGUGAGGAAUUUUGCGCAAUGGGGGCAACCCUGACGCAGCAACGCCGCGUGAGUGAAGAAGGCCUUUGGGUCGUAAAGCUCUGUCAAUCGGGAAGAAGUUACUGUAAUCUAAUAGGUGGCAGUAUUGACGGUACCGGUGAAGGAAGCAUCGGCUAACUCCGUGCCAGCAGCCGCGGUAAUACGGGGGAUGCAAGCGUUAUUCGGAAUUAUUGGGCGUAAAGGGCGCGUAGGCGGUUUUGUCGGUCAGAUGUGAAAGCCCAGGGCUCAACCCUGGACGUGCAUUUGAAACAGCAAGACUUGAGUACGGGAGAGGAAAGCGGAAUUCCUGGUGUAGAGGUGAAAUUCGUAGAUAUCAGGAGGAACACCGAUGGCGAAGGCAGCUUUCUGGACCGAUACUGACGCUGAGGCGCGAAGGCGUGGGUAGCGAACAGGAUUAGAUACCCUGGUAGUCC
rnacentral:rRNA from 1 species